UACGUAGGGUGCGAGCGUUGUCCGGAAUUAUUGGGCGUAAAGCGCACGUAGGCGGGUCUUUAAGUCAGGGGUGAAAUCCUGGAGCUCAACUCCAGAACUGCCUUUGAUACUGAAGAUCUUGAGUUCGGGAGAGGUGAGUGGAACUGCGAGUGUAGAGGUGAAAUUCGUAGAGAUCCGGAAGAACACCAGUGGCGAAGGCGGCCCGCUAGGCAGUGGCUGACGCUGAGGCGCGACAGCGUGGGGAGCAAACAGG
rnacentral:rRNA from 1 species